AAAGACCGGUUCUCGUUAGAUCACCGAAGUCAAGCAUCAUUGGGCGCGGUCAGUACUUGGGUGGGUGACCACCUGGGAACACCGCGUGCCGUU
rnacentral:rRNA from 1 species